rnacentral:lncRNA from 1 species
UUCAUGCUUGAAUAAACAACUUAGAUAUAUUAUGGUUCAGUUUUGUUAUAUUAUUUGAAUAUCUGAGUUUUCAGUUGGAUUAUGAUGUAAUAAAAAGGAUUUGUGGAUUUCAAAUGUUGAAUGGUAUUCUACCCCUCGCGGUAGAGUUUCUAAAAGAUAAAAGUUCCCAUGUAGGGAACAGUUUUUAAAAGAUUUUUUGUGGAUUUUGUAUCUUAGUAUUUCAAAACCUGUUUCUGGGUUGGAAACGUUUUAACUGAUAGAUGUAGAUUUAUGUUUAAAUAUUGAAUGUAUAAUUGUGAUGUGAAUGGUGAAUGAAUGAUUGUAUAGUUGUUUCUAUAUUCAUUUAGUUGUGGUUGUAUCCAGUUUACUUGUUGUACUUGUGCGACGCCGUGCAAAUACAGGAGAGACUCUGUCCGUGUGAUCAGUGAACUCUCUGUAUUUAUGGUGGAUCUGGCAUAUUCUGGGGUCAGGUCUUU